rnacentral:rRNA from 1 species
UACGGAGGGUGCAAGCGUUAUCCGGAUUCACUGGGUUUAAAGGGUGCGUAGGUGGGAAUGUAAGUCAGUGGUGAAAUCUCCGUGCUUAACAUGGAAACUGCCAUUGAUACUAUGUUUCUUGAAUUUUCUGGAGGUCAGCGGAAUAUGUCAUGUAGCGGUGAAAUGCGUAGAUAAUCAAGAGGAACACCUGAGGUGAAGACGGGUUGCCUGGGCCGACACGUGACGCUGAGUGCGCGAAAGCCAGGGGAGCAAACGGG